AUGUAGUGUUUGAUUGUUGUGAAUUGCCAUGCCAUGCCUUGCAUAAUUUAAACUCGACAUGCAUCAUAUUAGGGUGUGCAUCAUAUCAUGCAUGUGUGUGGUGAAUAUCGUGUGUUGAUGCAUGUUUCCGGUUUGCUUCGUCUCGAUAGAGUUCCGCAAGCGUGUCGGAAUGUGAGGACCCGUUCGACUACGUCGGUUCGUCUGCUUCACGGAGUCGUUCUUCUUCCAAGCGGGAUCUCAGGCAAGAUGACCAUUUCCCUAGAUACCAUUACUACCAAUGCCAUGCUAGUUGUCUUGUUUCUGUCGCUAUGUCUCGCUGCCUACCACGUGUUUAAUAUGCCUCCCAACAUUGCCAUGAAAACCUUCAACCUCUUCACAACCUAGCAAACCACUGAUUGUCUAUGUUACUGCUUGCUUAACCAUUUGUUAACGUUUCUAGUUGCAGGUGCAGUUGCUUCCAUGUGAUAACAUGGGUUCAUUGUUAUAUCACCCUAUUAAAUGCUAUUUAAUUUAAUGCACCUAUAUACUUGGUAAAAGGUGGAAGGCUCGACUUUCUAGCUUGGUGUUUUAUUCCACCUUUGCGCCUUAGUUUCGGCUACCGGUGUUAUAUUCCAUAAUUGAGCGCUCCUAACACGAUCGAGAUUGUAAUGGGG
rnacentral:lncRNA from 1 species